GCGCUGCCGCUGAGGGCUCGGCCCCGGGCUCCCCCGUGCCGGGCGCGGGCCGGCCCCGCCGCGGCAGCAGUUGCAGAGACACGCUGCAGAAACACACGGUGCCAUGAUUUUUUUGUCACCUCUGCGGCCUCGUUUAUGAAUCUCCGCGGUAACACAGCGGCCGCACCGUGCCGGCGCUCGCUCUCCAACAGAAGGCUCCGAGGAACUCACAGGACAAGGUCAUAUCUGCAUAGCUGUGGUCUGCAUGGAAACAGCCAACAUGAGCCAGAAGUGAAAACCUAGCCUUUCUGAUAUUGUCCCCUCGUCAAAUCUCCUGGCAUGCUGGAGGCCUACAUAAAAUCAGUUGUGUUCUCAAGACAACUAGCUUUAAGUCCACCGUGAGGUUGACCUACAGACGGCAUCAGAGGAACAGUAGGUGUGGUGCAAGGAGGAAGUUACCAACCAAGAAAUGAAGACCAGUCUUUAGUUAUACAACUAAAGCUUCUUCUUAAAAAGACCUGCUGGAGCCUGAUGAAGCCGGCUGUAACUGGAGUAAGAAAGGCUUUUUACCUGCUGGAUGGGAAGAAGAUGGCAGAUGCAAGGACAACCGUCAGGGGCAGGAAACAAAUCUGAAAUUGGAGCUGGAAGAUCUAGUGGCAAAACUGGAAAGAUGAGGGGCGAUGGGGAGAUCAUAAAGAGCAAGUUCUGCCAAUGGUGUGAAGGAAUCAGUCCAACAGUGAAACAUGCAAGAUGAACAGAAGGCUUUUACCUAUUGCAAGAGACAUUUGAGAAUCAGAGAUAAAAUGAGAGAAAGAAAUCAAGAGAGCCUUGCCUUUCUUCUCAGCACAAAAAAAAGAGGUGAGAAAUCCCUCCUGUCUACGUGCUGAACUUGGGUGUGGCUGUGCUGUAUCAAUAGGAGAAGUCAGAAAGCCCUACCAGGUGCAAUGCAGAGCUGCUCACAGCAGAGUAAGGAGGCGGCAUAGCUUAGCUGAGACUUCAUUUCCCUUCCUUGUAUCGUUUGUUUUCUGUGUUGCUGUAUUGGUGCAGCCACACAGUGUGUGCUAUUCUGCUAGGUGCCAUUUGGGCAAGAAUUCUGAGUUCUAGGUCUCUGGGCCCACCACGAGCUAAAUAUUUCAGUUUUGAAACCAGCAUAUAAUUGGAGCCUUCUGAGUUCCCAGGAAUCUCUCCACUGAGCACUGCAUCAGAUGCUCAGGACAGUCUCAAAUGCCACUUCACAGCCAAUCUGUUUGCUCCCUUACAGUGCUGCUGAGUAACUCUCCUGCGAACUUGUGCUGGUUUAGUAAGUGAUCAGAGUCAAUUCCAUCCCUGUGGAUUUUUAUACCCACAGCCAAGCCUUUCUUCCUAUUGUUAGUAGCUGAGGCUCCCUGCUCUGAGGCUGCCCUCUAUAUGUGACUGUAAGUAGCUCAAGAAAUGGCUGUGAGGAGAGAAACAGUAAUGUUUGGACACAGAGUAAAAGCAAGGAACUGGUUCAUAAUAUGAUUUUUUUAAGUCUUUAUCAACCUAAACAAUUUUGAUGUUCUGCCUGCCUAAUAAAGGUUAUCC